rnacentral:rRNA from 1 species
AACGAACGCUGGCGGCAUGCCUAACACAUGCAAGUCGAACGAGACCUUCGGGUCUAGUGGCGCACGGGUGCGUAGCGCGUGGGAACCUGCCCUUAGGUUCGGAAUAACUCCCCGAAAGGGGUGCUAAUACCGGAUAAUGUCUUCGGACCAAAGAUUUAUCGCCUUUGGAUGGGCCCGCGUUGGAUUAGCUAGUUGGUAGGGUAAAAGCCUACCAAGGCGACGAUCCAUAGCUGGUCUGAGAGGAUGAUCAGCCACACUGGGACUGAGACACGGCCCAGACUCCUACGGGAGGCAGCAGUGGGGAAUAUUGGACAAUGGGCGAAAGCCUGAUCCAGCAAUGCCGCGUGAGUGAUGAGGGCCUUAGGGUUGUAAAGCUCUUUUACCCGGGAUGAUAAUGACAGUACCGGGAGAAUAAGCUCCGGCUAACUCCGUG